rnacentral:misc_RNA from 1 species
CUAAGUCUUCCUCACAGGAAGACGAAAUCGGACGAGUUUGAGCUGCAAGAUUUCAAGGAAGUUUCAAAGCUUCAAGUGACCCAGUUGCCGUUGAGUAUUUUAGAGGCGGAUGGGACUGAUCCUUGGUCUGUUUUCCAAAGAAAGAAUCUACCAGCAUGGAUGGAUUCUAAUGGUAUUUUGUUUAACACGGUGGAGGAGUUUGACCAGAUUGGUUUGUCCUACUUCAGGCGAAAACUAGGCCGGCCGGCUUGGGCAGUAGGGCCAGUUUUGCUAUCAACGGAAAACAGAGCUCGUUCCGGCAUAGAAGCUGGCAUAACGACAGAUCUUUGCAAGGAAUGGCUAGAUACCAAGCCCGAGAAUUCAGUUCUAUACAUAUCAUUUGGAUCGCAUAAUACAAUCGCUUCAUCACAGAUGAUGCAAUUAGCUAUGGCUCUGGAGGCCAGCGGCAAGAAUUUUAUCUGGGUUGUUAGGCC